rnacentral:rRNA from 1 species
UGCAGUCGAACGGUGAUCCNNGUACUUGUAUCUGGUGAUCAGUGGCGAACGGGUGAGUAACACGUGAGUAACCUGCCCUUCACUCUGGGAUAACUCCGGGAAACCGGGGCUAAUACCGGAUAUGACACCAAUCCGCAUGGGUAUGGUGUGGAAAGUUUUUCGGUGGAGGAUGGACUCGCGGCCUAUCAGCUUGUUGGUGAGGUAAUGGCUCACCAAGGCGACGACGGGUAGCCGGCCUGAGAGGGCGACCGGCCACACUGGGACUGAGACACGGCCCAGACUCCUACGGGAGGCAGCAGUGGGGAAUAUUGCACAAUGGGCGAAAGCCUGAUGCAGCGACGCCGCGUGAGGGAUUAAGGCCUUCGGGUUGUAAACCUCUUUCAGCAGGGAAGAAGCGCAAGUGACGGUACCUGCAGAAGAAGCACCGGCUAACUACGUGCCAGCAGCCGCGGUAAUACGUAGGGUGCGAGCGUUGUCCGGAAUUAUUGGGCGUAAAGAGCUUGUAGGCGGUUUGUCGCGUCUGCUGUGAAAUCUCAAGGCUCAACCUUGAGCUUGCAGUGGGUACGGGCAGACUAGAGUGUGGUAGGGGAGACUGGAAUUCCUGGUGUAGCGGUGAAAUGCGCAGAUAUCAGGAGGAACACCGAUGGCGAAGGCAGGUCUCUGGGCCACUACUGACGCUGAGAAGCGAAAGCAUGGGGAGCGAACAGGAUUAGAUACCCUGGUAGUCCAUGCCGUAAACGUUGGGAACUAGGUGUGGGCCUCAUUCCACGAGGUCCGUGCCGCAGCUAACGCAUUAAGUUCCCCGCCUGGGGAGUACGGCCGCAAGGCUAAAACUCAAAGGAANUGACGGGGGCCCGCACAAGCGGCGGANCAUGCGGAUUAAUUCGAUGCAACGCGAAGAACCUUACCNAGGCUUGACAUAUACCGGAAAAGUGCAGANAUGUGCUCCCCGCANGGUCGGUAUACNNNGGUGCAUGGUUGUCGUCAGCUCGUGUCNUGAGAUGUUGGGUUAAGUCCCNCAACGAGCGCAACCCUC